rnacentral:rRNA from 1 species
ACGAACGCUGGCGGCAUGCCUAACACAUGCAAGUCGAACGAGACCUUUGGGUCUAGUGGCGCACGGGUGCGUAACGCGUGGGAAUCUGCCCUUGGGUUCGGAAUAACAGUGAGAAAUUGCUGCUAAUACCGGAUGAUGUCUUCGGACCAAAGAUUUAUCGCCCAGGGAUGAGCCCGCGUAGGAUUAGCUAGUUGGUGGGGUAAUGGCCUACCAAGGCGACGAUCCUUAGCUGGUCUGAGAGGAUGAUCAGCCACACUGGGACUGAGACACGGCCCAGACUCCAGCGGGGGGAGGCAGGGGUGAGGAUGAGAAGGGGUGGGGGAGCCUGAAAGAGCAAGGGGGGGAGGGUGAAAAGGGACUGGGGGUUGUAAAGCUCUUGUAACGGGGAAGACAGGGAGAGUGCUAGGAGAAUAAGCGCCGUCUAACGCAGUGCGAGCAGGGGCGGUAAGUGUCGGAAGAGCAACUGUCUGAGC